GAUUUACUUCGGUAAUGACGUUGGGCAAUCGAGCGGCGGAUGGGUGAGUAACACAUGGGGAACCUGCCCCUAAGUCUGGGAUACCAUUUGGAAACAGGUGCUAAUACCGGAUAAUAAAGCGGAUCGCAUGAUCAGCUUUUGAAAGGCGGCGUAAGCUGUCGCUAAGGGAUGGCCCCGCGGUGCAUUAGCUAGUUGGUAAGGUAACGGCUUACCAAGGCGACGAUGCAUAGCCGAGUUGAGAGACUGAUCGGCCACAUUGGGACUGAGACACGGCCCAAACUCCUAUGGGAGGCAGCAGUAGGGAAUCUUCCACAAUGGACGCAAGUCUGAUGGAGCAACGCCGCGUGAGUGAAGACGGUUUUCGGAUCGUAAAGCUCUGUUGUUGGUGAAGAAGGAUAGAGGUAGUAACUGGCCUUUAUUUGACGGUAAUCAACCAGAAAGUCACGGCUAACUACGUGCCAGCAGCCGCGGUAAUACGUAGGUGGCAAGCGUUGUCCGGAUUUAUUGGGCGUAAAGCGAGCGCAGGCGGAAAAAUAAGUCUAAUGUGAAAGCCCUCGGCUUAACCGAGGAACUGCAUCGGAAACUGUUUUUCUUGAGUGCAGAAGAGGAGAGUGGAACUCCAUGUGUAGCGGUGGAAUGCGUAGAUAUAUGGAAGAACACCAGUGGCGAAGGCGGCUCUCUGGUCUGCAACUGACGCUGAGGCUCGAAAGCAUGGGUAGCGAACAGGAUUAGAUACCCUGGUAGUCCAUGCCGUAUACGAUGAGUGCUAAGUGUUGGGAGGUU
rnacentral:rRNA from 1 species